GCUUAACACAUGCAAGUCGAGCGGUAACAUGACUAGUAGCAAUACUAGUUGAUGACGAGCGGCGGACGGGUGAGUAACACGUAGGAACUUGCCCAGUAGUGGGGGACAACCAAGGGAAACUUUGGCUAAUACCGCAUAUUCUCGAGAGAGGAAAGCUGCCGCAAGGUGGCGCUAUUGGAGAGGCCUGCGUCCGAUUAGCUAGUUGGUAGGGUAAAAGCCUACCAAGGCGAGGAUCGGUAACUGGUCUGAGAGGACGACCAGUCACACUGGGACUGAGACACGGCCCAGACUCCUACGGGAGGCAGCAGUGGGGAAUCUUGGACAAUGGGGGCAACCCUGAUCCAGCGAUGCCGCGUGAGUGAAGAAGGCCUUCGGGUCGUAAAGCUCUUUAGGCUGGGAAGAAGAUCGGUAGUUUAAGAGAUAAUCAAUUUGACUGUACCAGCAGAAUAAGCACCGGCGAACUCUGUGCCAGCAGCCGCCGUAA
rnacentral:rRNA from 1 species